rnacentral:rRNA from 1 species
AACGAACGCUGGCGGCAUGCCUAACACAUGCAAGUCGAACGAGACCUUCGGGUCUAGUGGCGCACGGGUGCGUAACGCGUGGGAACCUGCCCUUAGGUUCGGAAUAACUUCCCGAAAGGGGUGCUAAUACCGGAUAAUGUCUUCGGACCAAAGAUUAAUCGCCUUUGGAUGGGCCCGCGUUGGAUUAGCUGGUUGGUAGGGUAAAAGCCUACCAAGGCGACGAUCCAUAGCUGGUCAGAGAGGAUGAUCAGCCACACUGGGACUGAGACACGGCCCAGACUCCUACGGGAGGCAGCAGUGGGGAAUAUUGGACAAUGGGCGAAAGCCUGAUCCAGCAAUGCCGCGUGAGUGAUGAAGGCCUUAGGGUUGUAAAGCUCUUUUACCCGGGAUGAUAAUGACAGUACCGGGAGAAUAAGCUCCGGCUAACUCCGUG